rnacentral:rRNA from 1 species
GAAAGUGGCGAACGGGUGAGUAACACGUAGGUAAUCUGCCCUCGAGUGUGGAAUAAUUCCGGGAAACCGGUUGUAAUACCGCAUAAUAUCCUGUUGGGACAUCCCGAAAGGAUCAAAGGCUUCNGCCGCUUGAGGAUGAGCCUGCGUCCCAUUAGCUUGUUGGUGAGGUAACAGCUCACCAAGGCGACGAUGGGUAGCUGGUCUGAGAGGACGAUCAGCCACACUGGGACUGAGAUACGGCCCAGACUCCUACGGGAGGCAGCAGUGAGGAAUAUUGCGCAAUGGACGAAAGUCUGACGCAGCNGCGCCGCGUGGGCGAUGAAGCUCUUUUGAGUGUAAAGCCCUGUUAGGAGGGACGAACAAGCCCGAUACGUCGGGCCCUGACGGUACCUCCAGAGAAAGCUCCGGCUAACUCCGUGCCAGCAGCCGCGGUAAUACGGGGGGAGCAAGCGUUGUCCGGAUUUAUUGGGCGUAAAGGGCGUGUAGGUGGGUCUGUAAGUGAGUGGUGAAAUCCCGGGGCUUAACUCCGGAACUGCCUUUCAUACUGCAGAUCUCGAGUGCGAGAGGGGGAGAUGGAAUUCCUGGUGUAGCGGUGGAAUGCGUAGAUAUCAGGAGGAACACCGGUGGCGAAGGCGAUCUCCUGGCUCGCAGCUGACACUGAGGCGCUAAAGCG